AGAGUUUGAUCCUGGCUCAGGAUGAACGCUGGCGGCGUGCCUAAUACAUGCAAGUCGAGCGAACGGACGAGAAGUUUGCUUCUCUGAUGUUAGCGGCGGACGGGUGAGUAACACGUGGAUAACCUACCUAUAAGACUGGGAUAACUUCGGGAAACCGGAGCUAAUACCGGAUAAUAUUUUGAACCGCAUGGUUCAAAAGUGAAAGACGGUCUUGCUGUCACUUAUAGAUGGAUCCGCGCUGCAUUAGCUAGUUGGUAAGGUAACGGCUUACCAAGGCAACGAUGCAUAGCCGACCUGAGAGGGUGAUCGGCCACACUGGAACUGAGACACGGUCCAGACUCCUACGGGAGGCAGCAGUAGGGAAUCUUCCGCAAUGGGCGAAAGCCUGACGGAGCAACGCCGCGUGAGUGAUGAAGGUCUUCGGAUCGUAAAACUCUGUUAUUAGGGAAGAACAUAUGUGUAAGUAACUGUGCACAUCUUGACGGUACCUAAUCAGAAAGCCACGGCUAACUACGUGCCAGCAGCCGCGGUAAUACGUAGGUGGCAAGCGUUAUCCGGAAUUAUUGGGCGUAAAGCGCGCGUAGGCGGUUUUUUAAGUCUGAUGUGAAAGCCCACGGCUCAACCGUGGAGGGUCAUUGGAAACUGGAAAACUUGAGUGCAGAAGAGGAAAGUGGAAUUCCAUGUGUAGCGGUGAAAUGCGCAGAGAUAUGGAGGAACACCAGUGGCGAAGGCGACUUUCUGGUCUGUAACUGACGCUGAUGUGCGAAAGCGUGGGGAUCAAACAGGAUUAGAUACCCUGGUAGUCCACGCCGUAAACGAUGAGUGCUAAGUGUUAGGGGGUUUCCGCCCCUUAGUGCUGCAGCUAACGCAUUAAGCACUCCGCCUGGGGAGUACGAC
rnacentral:rRNA from 7 species